rnacentral:rRNA from 1 species
GCCUACCAUGGUAGUAACGGGUAACGGGGAAUUAGGGUUCGAUUCCGGAGAGGGAGCCUGAGAAACGGCUACCACAUCCAAGGAAGGCAGCAGGCGCGCAAAUUACCCAAUCCCGACACGGGGAGGUAGUGACAAUAAAUAACAAUACGGGGUUCUAUAGGAUUUCGUAAUUGGAAUGAGUACAAUUUAAAUCUCUUAACGAUCAACAAUUGGAGGGCAAGUCUGGUGCCAGCAGCCGCGGUAAUUCCAGCUCCAAUAGCGUAUAUUAAAGUUGUUGCAGUUAAAAAGCUCGUAGUUGAAUUUCGGGGUUAGUAGGUUGGUCAUGCCUCUGGUAUGUACUGGUCUCACUGAUUCCUCCCUCUUGACGAACUGUAAUGUCAUUAAUUUGGUGUUGCAGGAAAUCAGGACUGUUACUUUGAAAAAAUUAGAGUGUUUAAAGCAGGCUUAGGCUUGAAUACAUUAGCAUGGAAUAAUGAAAUAGGACGUUUGAUCCUAUUUUGUUGGUUUCUAGGAUCGACGUAAUGAUUAAUAGGGAUAGUUGGGGGCAUUAGUAUUCAAUUGUCAGAGGUGAAAUUCUUGGAUUUAUUGAAGACUAACUACUGCGAAAGCAUUUGCCAAGGAUGUUUUCAUUAAUCAAGAACGAAAGUUAGGGGAUCGAAGACGAUCAGAUACCGUCGUA